GGUUUAUGAUUGACUAAAUAUCACAUCACAGGGUGUACAUUAGCUGCCAGCUGACACUGGCAAAUAUCACCUGGUAUGGCUACUGACUACUGGAAAAAUAAUUGUCAUUGUCAACAUCUGAUAAAAUCUUGCUAUCGAUCAAACUUACUAUAACAUUGCAAAUGCCUCUCUAUGUGUUUCAGCACUAAUUCGGGAAGUCCUAACAAAGCAAGAAAUGAUUCUUGAGCAACAGACAUUUAUUUUGCGUCUUCUUCAAGCACGGCAAAACACCCAGGAUUGUCAAAUUGAAGAAGGGCGUCUGCUGGUGCGUGAUAAACAAGCACUAGGCUACAAAAUGUAGAAGUACAACUUGAUAAUGGAGAAUUCAAAGAGAAAUUGAUGAAUCACUUAAGUCUUAUUGGAGGGUGUGACAUAAAGGAUGCAGUCUGGCGGCUAAUGGGGAGAACAAUUUCCAAUAGCCUUGCUAGAAACAUGAAUUGGAAGGGGCUGAACGGGAAGACAUCAUUUGCAACACUGCGAUUGAAGGAUGUGAUGAUUGCUGCAGUUCGAAAAAAUCCACUGAUGUCCAAAGCGACAGAUCAUGAUGUGGAAUCUGUCAUGAAAAGAUGGCUCCAGCUUGCUUUAGAUCGAGAGGGAGGCAGAAAACGGCGGCAAAAAACUCAUAAGAUUUCUCUCUUGUUCACUCAACCACCCACCCUCUUUCGCUCACCAGUAUGUGUCAGAUGUGUGUCAGUAUACUGUGCCUACACAAAUAUUCACACACUAGUCCUUCAUUUUUUCUCUAAUAUUCAUUAAAAUUUUGGAUAAACAAAUGCAAAUUUUUCAAUUUUGUGAAACAUUUUUCA